rnacentral:rRNA from 1 species
CAGCACCUCAAGUGGUCAGGAUGAUUAUUGGGCCUAAAGCAUCCGUAGCCGGCGCUGUAAGUUUUCGGUUAAAUCUGUACGCUCAACGUACAGGCUGCCGGGAAUACUGCAGCGCUAGGGAGUGGGAGAGGUAGACGGUACUCGGUAGGAAGGGGUAAAAUCCUUUGAUCUAUUGAUGACCACCUGUGGCGAAGGCGGUCUACCAGAACACGUCCGACGGUGAGGAUGAAAGCUGGGGGAGCAAACCGGAUUAGAGACCCGUGUAGUCC